GGUUCAGACUUCAGAGAGAC
rnacentral:snRNA from 1 species